CCCUUGAAGAGAUUGAACGCUGGCGGNAGGCUUAACACAUGCAAGUCGUGCGAGAAAGUAUCUUCGGAUAUGAUUAGCGCGGAGGACGGGUGAGUAACGCGUAGGAAUCUACCUAGUAGAAGGGGAUAGCCCGGGGAAACUCGGAUUAAUACCGUAUACCUCCUUCGGGAGAAAGAAGGCCUCUCUUUGAAGCUUUCGCUAUUAGAUGAGCCUGCGUAAGAUUAGCUUGUUGGUGAGGUAAAGGCUCACCAAGGCGACGAUCUUUAGCGGGUCUGAGAGGACGAUCCGCCACAUUGGGACUGAGACACGGCCCAGACUCCUACGGGAGGCAGCAGUGGGGAAUAUUGGACAAUGGGCGCAAGCCUGAUCCAGCCAUACCGCGUGUGUGAAGAAGGCCCUAGGGUUGUAAAGCACUUUAAGUUGGGAAGAAAAGUUAUUGGUUAAUACCCAAUAACCGUGACAUUACCAUCAGAAUAAGGACCGGCUAAUUCCGUG
rnacentral:rRNA from 1 species